rnacentral:rRNA from 1 species
GACGAACGCUGGCGGCGUGCUUAACACAUGCAAGUCGAACGGUGAAGGGACCGGUUUUUGCUGGUUCUGGAUGAGUGGCGAACGGGUGAGUAACACGUGAGUAACCUGCCCCCUUCUUCUGGCUAACCGCAUGAAAGUGUGGCUAAUACUGGAUAUUCUGCGCCUGCUGCAUGGUGGGUGUGGGAAAGAUAUUGUUUCGGUGGGGGAUGGGCUCGCGGCCUAUCAGCGUGUUGGUGGGGUGAUGGCGUACCAAGGCGGUGCCGGGUAGCCGGCCUGAGAGGGUGGACGGUCACACUGGGACUGAGACACGGCCGAGACUCAUACGGGAGGCAGAAGUGUGGAAUAUUGAACAAUGGGCGCAAGCCUGAUGCAGCGACGCCGCGUGAGGGAUGGAGGCGUGCGGGUUGUAAACCUCUUUCGCCAGUGAAGCAGGCCUGUCCCUUUUGUGGGUGGAUUGACGGUAGCGGGAUAAGAAGCGCCGGCUAACUACGUG